AACGUAGGAGACAAACGUUAUCCGGAGUUACUGGGCGUAAAGGGCGUGUAGGUGGUAUCGUAAGUCUGGCGUGAAAUUUCUCGGCUUAACCGAGGCAGGUCGUCGGAUACUGCGGGACUAGAGGACGGUAGAGGCGUGUGGAAUUCCGGGUGUAGUGGUGAAAUGCGUAGAGAUCCGGAGGAACACCAGUGGCGAAGGCGACACGCUGGGCCGUACCUGACACUGAUGCGCGACAGCAUGGGGAGCAAACAGG
rnacentral:rRNA from 1 species